rnacentral:rRNA from 1 species
AACGAACGCUGGCGGCAUGCCUAACACAUGCAAGUCGAACGAGACCUUCGGGUCUAGUGGCGCACGGGUGCGUAACGCGUGGGAACCUGCCCUUAGGUUCGGAAUAACUCCCCGAAAGGGGUGCUAAUACCGGAUAAUGUCUUCGGACCAAAGAUUUAUCGCCUUUGGAUGGGCCCGCGUUGGAUUAGCUAGUUGGUAGGGUAAAAGCCUACCAAGGCGACGAUCCAUAGCUGGUCUGAGAGGAUGAUCAGCCACACUGGGACUGAGACACGGCCCAGACUCCUACGGGAGGCAGCAGUGGGGAAUAUUGGACAAUGGGCGAGAGCCUGAUCCAGCAAUGCCGCGUGAGUGAUGAAGGCCUGAGGGUUGUAUAGCUCUUUUACCCGGGAUGAUAAUGACAGUACCGGGAGAAUAAGCGCCGGCUAACUCCGUG